UACGGAGGGUGCAAGCGUUAAUCGGAAUUACUGGGCGUAAAGCGCGCGUAGGUGGUUUGAUAAGCGAGAUGUGAAAGCCCCGGGCUCAACCUGGGAAUGGCAUUUCGAACUGUCAGGCUAGAGUAUGGUAGAGGGUAGUGGAAUUUCCUGUGUAUCGUUGAAAUGCGUAGAUAUAGGAAGGAACACCAGUGGCGAAGGCGGCUACCCGGACCAAUACUGACGCUGAGGUGCGAAAGCGUGGGGAGCAAACAGG
rnacentral:misc_RNA from 1 species